rnacentral:rRNA from 1 species
CGGGACACGUGGUAUCCUGUCUGAAUAUGGGGGGACCAUCCUCCAAGGCUAAAUACUCCUGACUGACCGAUAGUGAACCAGUACCGUGAGGGAAAGGCGAAAAGAACCCCGGCGAGGGGAGUGAAAAAGAACCUGAAACCGUGUACGUACAAGCAGUGGGAGCACGCUUAGGCGUGUGACUGCGUACCUUUUGUAUAAUGGGUCAGCGACUUAUAUUCUGUAGCAAGGUUAACCGAAUAGGGGAGCCGAAGGGAAACCGAGUCUUAACUGGGCGUUAAGUUGCAGGGUAUAGACCCGAAACCCGGUGAUCUAGCCAUGGGCAGGUUGAAGGUUGGGUAACACUAACUGGAGGACCGAACCGACUAAUGUUGAAAAAUUAGCGGAUGACUUGUGGCUGGGGGUGAAAGGCCAAUCAAACCGGGAGAUAGCUGGUUCUCCCCGAAAGCUAUUUAGGUAGCGCCUCGUGAAUUCAUCUCCGGGGGUAGAGCACUGUUUCGGCAAGGGGGUCAUCCCGACUUACCAACCCGAUGCAAACUGCGAAUACCGGAGAAUGUUAUCACGGGAGACACACGGCGGGUGCUAACGUCCGUCGUGAAGAGGGAAACAACCCAGACCGCCAGCUAAGGUCCCAAAGUCAUGGUUAAGUGGGAAACGAUGUGGGAAGGCCCAGACAGCCAGGAUGUUGGCUUAGAAGCAGCCAUCAUUUAAAGAAAGCGUAAUAGCUCACUGGUCGAGUCGGCCUGCGCGGAAGAUGUAACGGGGCUAAACCAUGCACCGAAGCUGCGGCAGCGACGCUUAUGCGUUGUUGGGUAGGGGAGCGUUCUGUAAGCCUGUGAAGGUGUACUGUGAGGUAUGC